UAAAAACUUUGAGGUGGUCAACAAAAAAAGAACUGCAGUCUGUAAAACAUGCAGGACGAAGAUAACAGACGGAGACGCGACAACUUCCAACUUCGUUCGACAUUUGAAGUUGCACAAAGAACGAUUUGAAGAAUACCAGAUGAGUAGAAGCAUCAUAGAUGAACCACAACAGCCUUCAAUCUCACAAUUCUUGGACAGUCGUGAAGCGCAUUACAGCAUGAGUCAUCCACAGCAGAAGGUUAUCAUUAACACAAUACUGUCCGACCUGAUUAUUGAUUGCAGCCUUCCCCUGUCUAUUGUGGAACACAAGAGUUUUCGGCACUUUCUGAAAGUAAUUGACAAUAAGUACAGCCCAGUGUGUCGCAGAACGUUGACAUCAAAAAGAGAGAGCCUCGCUGGGGAGAGACGUUCAAGAUUAAAAACUCAAUUGAGCAACACUGA